UUCUACCCCUAUUGUAAUCGCACCUCGUGUUAACAACAAACCGUAGCCUUAAUUUCAAACGUAAGGCUUUGACGAUCUGGGUUUCGCCGUCUGCAAAUCAACAAAAUCCUCUCUCCUUCGGAAUAUCAUUUUGGAACCGGUAGCGGAGAUACCCUACGAGAUGAGGCGGAAACUCGCUGAGGUGACAGUUGAUGUGGCAUCUGACUCGGAUUUUUGAUGACAUGGCAGCUGACAUGGCAUAUGACUUGGCUUUUUGAUGACGUGGUACUAGUUUGGUGACAUGGCAUCUGAUGUCAGCAAACUAGGUUAGUGUUGGGUUAGUUUGGGAGUGCUAUUGGCCAAUAAUUUGAAAGUUGAGAGUGGUGUGGUACAAAUCGAAAGUUGGAAGUGCUAUCCGCCAACUGGUGAAAGUUAAAGUUAUUUAAAUUUAAUAUCCCAUAAUAAUAAUUAUGUCUUAAAGUUCGAUGAGAGAUAAAAAUAGAGAUAAUAUAUGAAAGAUACGAAGGAAUUGACGUCUUAAUAUGGUGUUAAUUAAGUUGAUCAACCUUUGAUGAACUUAAACCCGGUCUAUAUAAUAUUCUUCUAUA
rnacentral:lncRNA from 1 species